GUAUAAAAGAAAAUGAUAUGCUAUUAAAGCAUGGACACCUCUAUUUACAGAGGAUACUCUGCCGAAAUUUUCCGAAAAUCCAACACUUAGUAAAUAUAUUCUAGACAAAAGUUUACUAGAACAUUGAAUGAACAAAUAUCCCAACAUGUCAUAUGAUUAAGUUAAAACAUUAACUAUUUUAACAAAUAAUUACCACACGGAACAAUAUAAGAAACGUGACCCAAAAUACUAAACUCUAAGCCAAGGCACGACCCGCUCGUCUAAUAGACAUUAGUACGUUGUAGGUUGUCGUGUAGCGGACAGGGUUUGAGAUUCGAUUCAAGACGCACUACUGAGCUGUUGCUUAGGAUGUUCGUGACACACUAGGGCGGACCUAUGCCUUAGAGACUAAAAUAAAGAUGGAACCGGUUUAAUUAUGUGAUGAACACUUUGUUUCAGUUAAUUUAAGACUAUGUAACCUUUGCUUGAUGAAUAAAACAUAACUUUUAAUUACCAUGGUUGUGAAACAAUAAUUCUGUUA